UACAGAGGGGGCAAGCGUUGUUCGGAAUUACUGGGCGUAAAUGGCGCGUAGGCGGCCUUCUAAGUCGAACGUGAAAUCCCUGGGCUCAACCCAGGAACUGCGUCCGAUACUGGAAGGCUUGAAUCCGGGAGAGGGAUGCGGAAUUCCAGGUGUAGCGGUGAAAUGCGUAGAUAUCUGGAGGAACACCGGUGGCGAAGGCGGCAUCCUGGACCGGUAUUGACGCUGAGGCGCGAAAGCCAGGGGAGCAAACGGG
rnacentral:rRNA from 1 species